CGCGUAGGCGGUCGAUCAAGUCAGGGGUGAAAUCCUGCAGCUUAACUGUAGAAGUGCCUCUGAUACUGAUCGUCUGGAGGGAGAUAGGGGUGUGCGGAACUUCCAGUGGAGCGGUGAAAUGCGUUGAUAUUGGAAGGAACGCCGGAGGCGAAAGCGGCGCACUGGAUCUCUACUGACGCUGAGGCGCGAAAGCCAGGGGAGCAAACG
rnacentral:rRNA from 1 species